UGGGGAAUUUUGGACAAUGGGGGAAACCCUGAUCCAGCCAUCCCGCGUGUGCGAUGAAGGCCUUCGGGUUGUAAAGCACUUUUGGCAGGAAAGAAACGUCAUGGGUUAAUACCCCGUGAAACUGACGGUACCUGCAGAAUAAGCACCGGCUAACUACGUGCCAGCAGCCGCGGUAAUACGUAGGGUGCAAGCGUUAAUCGGAAUUACUGGGCGUAAAGCGUGCGCAGGCGGUUCGGAAAGAAAGAUGUGAAAUCCCAGAGCUCAACUUUGGAACUGCAUUUUUAACUACCGGGCUAGAGUGUGUCAGAGGGAGGUGGAAUUCCGCGUGUAGCAGUGAAAUGCGUAGAUAUGCGGAGGAACACCGAUGGCGAAGGCAGCCUCCUGGGAUAACACUGACGCUUAUGCACGAAAGCGUGGGGAGCAAACAGG
rnacentral:rRNA from 1 species